AUGGCUCAGUGGUAGAGCAUUUGCCUAGCAUGCAUGAGGCCCUGGGUUCAAUCCCUAGU
rnacentral:tRNA from 1 species